rfam:Phaeosphaeria nodorum SN15 scaffold_2, whole genome shotgun sequence.
CACUGUCCGAUGAUGUAAUACUUUUCGGAUGUAAACCCAUUAAACCACCGAGAGCGCAAAACCGUGUGGAUAUUUUCCGUUGCCUUCCUUCUGAGACCCAAC